rnacentral:lncRNA from 1 species
CUAUGACGCAAUACCAUGGACGCUCACGAGCUGGCGAUGGAGGUUCAAUUUUUAAAACUAACUGCAAGAAUGGAAACAGUCAGAGAUAUAUGGUAUAAACAACUCUGGUUGUUCAAACUGAUGGUCAAACCGAUGAACAAAUAAAUGGAAAUGGACAACUUGGAGAUUAACUGGAAGAAACCGGGGAACGAUUGAAAUGAAAGUCAACGCAACGAAAGUGUUUUUGUUUUGAUGAGUGACUUGGAAAGCACAAAGAAAAGGUAAAAAUAAAUUUAUCAUUCACAUUUUUUAAAUGGAUAAGCAGAAAGAUGUAAGCAUUAAAUUAUCUCUGUGUCGGCCAUAUACCGCCACACCAUGCACA